rfam:Brassica napus, WGS project CCCW01000000 data, contig: 8153
UCUAAGUAGCGAUAUUGGUACGGUUGAAUCGAAUCAAAUCACUCUAUCUUUCUCUUGGGUCAGUUGAUUUGAUUGAGCCGUGCCAAUAUCACUAUUACGACA